UACGGGGGGAGCAAGCGUUGUUCGGAUUUACUGGGCGUAAAGGGCGCGUAGGCGGUCAGCACAAGUCAGUUGUGAAAUCUCCGGGCUUAACUCGGAAAGGUCAACUGAUACUGUGCGACUAGAGUGCGGAAGGGGCAACUGGAAUUCUCGGUGUAGCGGUGAAAUGCGCAGAUAUCAGGAGGAACACCGGUGGCGAAGGCGGAUCUCUGGGCCUUACCUGACGCUCAGGCACGAAAGCUAGGGGAGCGAACAGG
rnacentral:rRNA from 1 species